UACGAGGGGGGCAAAUGUUGUUCGGAAUCACUGGGCGUAAGGGGAGCGUAGGCGGGUUCUUAAGUUAGGUGUUUAAUCCCGGGGCCCAACCCCGGACCGGCGCUAACUUGAAAACUGGGAUCUUGAAUAGUGGAGAGGUCGAGUGGAAUUGGAGGUGUAGACGGUGGAAUGCGUAGAGAGUCGGGAGGAACACCGGUGGCGAAGGCGGUUCUCUGGGCCUUACCUGACGCUGAGGAGCGAAAGCGUGGGGAGCGAACAGG
rnacentral:rRNA from 1 species